rnacentral:rRNA from 2 species
GGCGGACGGGUGAGUAAUGCUUAGGAAUCUGCCUAUUAGUGGGGGACAACAUUCCGAAAGGAAUGCUAAUACCGCAUACGUCCUACGGGAGAAAGCAGGGGACCUUCGGGCCUUGCGCUAAUAGAUGAGCCUAAGUCGGAUUAGCUAGUUGGUGGGGUAAAGGCCUACCAAGGCGACGAUCUGUAGCGGGUCUGAGAGGAUGAUCCGCCACACUGGGACUGAGACACGGCCCAGACUCCUACGGGAGGCAGCAGUGGGGAAUAUUGGACAAUGGGGGGAACCCUGAUCCAGCCAUGCCGCGUGUGUGAAGAAGGCCUUUUGGUUGUAAAGCACUUUAAGCGAGGAGGAGGCUACUAGUAUUAAUACUACUGGAUAGUGGACGUUACUCGCAGAAUAAGCACCGGCUAACUCUGUGCCAGCAGCCGCGGUAAUACAGAGGGUGCGAGCGUUAAUCGGAUUUACUGGGCGUAAAGCGUGCGUAGGCGGCUGAUUAAGUCGGAUGUGAAAUCCCUGAGCUUAACUUAGGAAUUGCAUUCGAUACUGGUCAGCUAGAGUAUGGGAGAGGAUGGUAGAAUUCCAGGUGUAGCGGUGAAAUGCGUAGAGAUCUGGAGGAAUACCGAUGGCGAAGGCAGCCAUCUGGCCUAAUACUGACGCUGAGGUACGAAAGCAUGGGGAGCAAACAGGAUUAGAUACCCUGGUAGUCCAUGCCGUAAACGAUGUCUACUAGCCGUUGGGGCCUUUGAGGCUUUAGUGGCGCAGCUAACGCGAUAAGUAGACCGCCUGGGGAGUACGGUCGCAAGACUAAAACUCAAAUGAAUUGACGGGGGCCCGCACAAGCGGUGGAGCAUGUGGUUUAAUUCGAUGCAACGCGAAGAACCUUACCUGGUCUUGACAUAGUAAGAACUUUCCAGAGAUGGAUUGGUGCCUUCGGGAACUUACAUACAGGUGCUGCAUGGCUGUCGUCAGCUCGUGUCGUGAGAUGUUGGGUUAAGUCCCGCAACGAGCGCAACCCUUUUCCUUAUUUGCCAGCGGGUUAAGCCGGGAACUUUAAGGAUACUGCCAGUGACAAACUGGAGGAAGGCGGGGACGACGUCAAGUCAUCAUGGCCCUUACGACCAGGGCUACACACGUGCUACAAUGGUCGGUACAAAGGGUUGCUACCUAGCGAUAGGAUGCUAAUCUCAAAAAGCCGAUCGUAGUCCGGAUUGGAGUCUGCAACUCGACUCCAUGAAGUCGGAAUCGCUAGUAAUCG